rnacentral:lncRNA from 1 species
AUCUAAUGAUUCCACAAUUCCUCGCCUACUCUCUCCGUGGCGAGAAAAUGAAACCUUCAAGAUAUAGUUUGAUCAACUUGAUCACCACUGACGAAAAAACCAACAGUGCGUGUGAACUUACACAUGCCCGUGUCGCUACUCCGUACUCUCUUAAGCAAGGACUUGCGAACGUGGGAGAAACGCCUCUGUGGAGUUCACCAUAAACUGGCCUGCCUGAAAGUCGAGCCCACAGCCCAGCCCCCCUUAGCCCUAAACCUGCCUAGCAAACGCUCAGACACCAACACUAACUCUCGAUGAUUUCCUACACAUUCUACACAUCCGACUAAGGUCAUGGUCUUGCUCACGAGAAAAUAUGACAGCUCUUAAUUGACUAGCUCAACGGAGCCCCCAGUGCUCUGAGUUUGAUCUGGCUGGCUUACUGGACAGCUGGGCGGUUCGUUCUAACUUCUAAGGGAUCUCUCUCCGAUCAACGACUAGAACUACUCCGUCGUUAUAUGGAUGGAAAUUUCGAGGAGAUGCGCCCUUCUAUCCACAUCCCAGCCAUAUGGUUCUGUACCCUGCUCGCUACCCCCUGCUAAAAUUGCCACGAUUCACUACUAGAGUCUAAGUUGCAGCAUUGCUCAGCAGCACUGCAAAGCACCGAUCUUGAGUGCAGUUCGAGAUGUGAAUCCAUUCAUUAUUUAUCCCCGUAAUUCGAAUUCCGAGUUGUGCGUCCCAUGGAUCGAUCGUAUUUCCAUGACUCGGUGGUUAGCUAACUAAGGCUCUUGGUCCAAAGAGCUAUUUCAGUAGCCUUGCUUGUUAUCUGUGUAACAAAUACUACUAACGACGAUAUCUACUUCCUAAAGGUGUAUCUGACAGUAGCAGAUCAAACAACGAAAUGUACGUACUUGGUCUAUGUCGUACGGCACUAUAUGGCA